UACGUAGGGUGCAAGCGUUGUCCGGAAUUAUUGGGCGUAAAGAGCUCGUAGGCGGUUUGUCGCGUCGAAUGUGAAAACUCGAGGCUCAACCUCGAGACGUCGACGGAAACCGUCUGGCUAGAGUCCGGAAGAGGAGUGUGGAAUUCCUGGUGUAGCGGUGAAAUGCGCAGAUAUCAGGAGGAACACCGAUGGCGAAGGCAGGUCUCUGGGCCGAUACUGACGCUGAGGAGCGAAAGCGUGGGGAGCGAACAGG
rnacentral:rRNA from 1 species